AAUAAGAUCAUUUUUCAGUUUUUUGAUACUAUGUUUUGAAUCUUCGUUUUAUUUGAAUUUUUUUGCGAUUAAUAUUUUUAUUCUUACUAGAUGAUAAAACAUGAAUAGUACUUUAUACGUGACUAAUUUUUUUAAAUUUUUGUACAAAAUCUUCAAAUAAGACGAAUGGUCAAACGUUGGACACGGAAAAAC
rnacentral:pre_miRNA from 1 species